rnacentral:rRNA from 1 species
CCAAGGAGUCUAACAUGUGCGCGAGUCGCUCGGUCUUGAAUAGGCCAGAGAGGCGCAAUGAAAGUAAAGUUGAUUGAGUUACGAUCCUUGUGCAGUUGCCGUGUAAAAGCGGUGACGGCAGGGCGCAGUAACAGCCCUCUCAUUUCGCUCAUAUCGACGAAGGAGAGGAGUUAUAGCGUACACGUUGGUACCCGAAAGAUGGUGAACUAUGCCUGAGCAAGAUGAAGCCAGAGGAAACUCUGGUGGAGGUCUGUAGCGAUUCUGACGUGCAAAUCGAUCGUCAGACUUGGGUAUAGGGGCGAAAGACUAAUCGAACCAUC